UACGUAGGACCCAAGCGUUAUCCGGAGUGACUGGGCGUAAAGAGUUGCGUAGGUGGUUUGUUAAGCGAAUAGUGAAAUCUGGCGGCUCAACCGUACAGACUAUUAUUCGAACUGGCAAACUCGAGAAUGGUAGAGGUAACUGGAAUUUCUGAAGUAGGGGUAAUAUCCGUAGAUAUCAGAAGGAACACCAAUGGCGUAGGCAGGUUACUGGACCAUUUCUGACACUGAGGCACGAAAGCGUGGGGAGCGAACCGG
rnacentral:rRNA from 1 species